GUCAGGAUUAAGAUGUUACCCUAAAGGCAUCAAUUCUGUCUGAUCUUGGAAGCUAGGCAAGAUCAUCCCUGGUUAGUAUCUGGAUGGGGGACCACCAAGGAACAUCAGGUGCUGUUGGCU
rnacentral:rRNA from 11 species